UACAUGGGGUGCAAACGUUGCUCGGAAUCAUUGGGCGUAAAGCGCGCGUAGGCGGUUACUUAAGUCGAAUGUGAAAGCCCUCGGCUUAACUGAGGAAGUGCAUCCGAAACUGAGUAGCUAGAGUACGAAAGAGGGUCGCGGAAUUCCCGGCUGUAGAGGUGAAAUUCGUAGAUAUCGGGAGGAACACCGGUGGCGAAGGCGGCGACCUGGGUCGAGACUGACGCUGAGGCGCGAAAGCGUGGGGAGCAAACAGG
rnacentral:rRNA from 1 species